GCCAGGCCAGGUGGCGCACACCUGUGAUCCCAGUGACUCAGGAGGCUGAGGCAGGAGGAUUGCAAGUUCAAGGCCAGCUUCAUCAAUUUAGUAAGACUCUAAGCAACUUAGCAAGAUCCUGUCUCAG
rnacentral:sRNA from 1 species